AGCUGAGGAAGAGAAGCACUGAGCUGGAGCAGCUCUCACACACAGAGGAUCACAUCCAUUUCCUCCAGAGGUAUCAGUCUCUCUCCAGUAUCAGUGUAUCUUCAGACUUACCCAGCAUCGUUGUCCGUCCUCUUCAGUACUUUGGAGAUUGAAUAUAGUGGAUGUUGUACUGCC